AAAAAGGGUCCUUGUCCUUUCACCAGGGGUUUAGUUCGGCAACGAGGGAGACCCGCCAUCCUAAUUGCCCGCAAGCACCUCGCGGAGGAUGGGUACAUUAGGGGGACUGCCGCCGCCAAAGCGGAGGAAGGAACGGGCAACGGUAGGUCAGUAUGCCCCGAAUGGGCUGGGCAACACGCGGGCUACAAUGGCCGGGACAAUGGGUUGCCACCCCGAGAGGGGACGGUAAUCUCCGAAACCCGGUCGUAGUUCGGA
rnacentral:rRNA from 1 species